rnacentral:pre_miRNA from 1 species
UAAAGAAGCGCCCGUCAACUAAGCCAAAAAUGACUGCUCGGUAAAACACCGCAAAAAUUCUCCCACGUGAGGAGAGCGGAAUUACGGGCAAGCCAUUCUUGGCUAGUAAACGAGGGCUCUUUCUU